UCCAGCUUGGUGUAAACCUUGGCUCCUCGAAGCCGAUCCAGUAGAUCCGAGAUUAAGGGCAGGGGAUAGCUGUUCCGCUUGGUGAUAUUGUUCAAUGCUCUGUAGUCCACCACCAAGCGUAGUUCCCCUGACUUCUUCUUCACAAACAUCACUGGGGAGGCGGCUGGGGAUUGAGAGGGUCUAAUGAAUCCCUUACGAAGGUUUGUCUCUAUGAAUUCCCUGAGAGCUUCUUGCUCUGGUUCAGUCAGGGAGUAUAGGUGCCCUCGCGGGAUCGGGGCCCCCUCCACCAGGUCAAUGGCACAGUCAUAAGGUCUAUGUGGGGGUAAUUUCUCGGCUUCUUUUUCAUUGAAUACAUCCCAAUACUCGGAGUACUUCUUGGGCAGGGUGAUGAUGGGCUCGGUGUCUGUGGCAUGGCAGACCUUGGCUACAAGGCAAUGGUUUUGGCAGUACUGUGAAGCAAACUGCAGUUCUCUGUUGGACCAGGAGAUGCUUGGGUCGUGGAGAGUCAGCCAUGGAAUCCCCAAAAUCACAGGGAAAUGGGGAACCUCGGUAACAAAGAAAGAAAUCUCUUCCAUAUGUUCCCUUAUCCACAUCCUGGUGGGUUCCGACCACUGACUUACGGGGCCCGUCUUGAGGGGGCGGCCGUCUAUGGCUUGUACCACACGGGCAUUCUUGAAAUCAUGAUAUUGUAAUCCCAGAGAGUCGGCAUACUCUCUAUCAAUGAAAUUGUUGGUGGCUCCGGAGUCUAUCAUGGCGUGGAUCAUGACGGGUCCCCUUUUUGCUGACCAUAAGGUAACCACGAGAAGGAACAGGACCCCGGUUGGCGGCUCUUGAACGGGUUUUUUGACCGGGUUGGCGAGCCUCUCUACGCCCGGUCGUUGGCUUCCCCCGCCGGCUGUGUGUCAGCCGGCUCAGACGCCUUCGUCUCCGUGGAGGACGCCGCCGCAAGACGGGCGGCGGGCUUCCCUUUGGCUGGGCACUCUCUGGCGAAGUGGCCCCCGUUCCCGCAGUACCAACAGAGGUUUAAGCGUUGACGACGGGCCUUCUCGGCGGCAUCUAAUCUGGGACGCACGUUGCCCAACUGCAUCGGCACCUCCUCGCUUCCUCUGGGGUAUGGGGUUGGUGGUGGGGGUCUCCACACUGGACGUGGCUGAACGCUGGCGGGAGCGGGGGGUUUUGCCCCAGCUCUACCGCUCUGGCCUCGAACCCACUGUUUCCUGUUGGCAAUCAUGACUUCAGCCCGUAAACAUUGAUCAAUGAGUGCUUCGAGGGUCUGGGGAGGAUCCACCUUGGAGAUUUCCUCCAGCAUUUCGAUGUUGAGACCCUCCCGGAAUUGUCCCCUGAGGGCUACAUCAUUCCAGCCGGUGUUAUGGGCCAGCACUCGGAACUCGGCUAUGUACUGAGACAUAGGUCUGUCUCCUUGGAAGAGGCGAAGGAGUUUGUGACCGGCUGCCUCCAAAUUGUCCUCGAUUCCCCAAGUCUCCUUAAGGUGGUCCAAGAAGCGUUGCGCGGACCUUAGGUGUGGAGAGGCUUGGUCGAACAGUGCCGUCGCCCAGUUGGCCGCUGGCCCGUCUAGAAGACUGUAAACCCAUGCCACCUUGAUGUCUUCUUGGGGAAAUUCGGCAGCACGGGCCUCUAGAUAAGCUUGGCAUUGGCGACGGAAAACAUGAACCUUAGAUGCUUCUCCAGUAAACUUGGUUGGCAACGCCAUGGCCGGUAGACGGAUUCCGCGUUCCUUCAAACCUUUUAUUUCUCCAUCCUGGGCAUUAAGCUUAUCACGGAUUCGAUCCACCUCAUCUUUGUCGAUGGUGUAGGUAAUCGGCUGGCCGCUCGGCCCAGGUACGGUUCCGGUAGACAUUCUGGCCGAGGUUAAUUGGUGCUUAGGGUGGCGGAGUCAAACUGUCAGGACCCAGGCUACAGAGCACCAAUAACCAUACGCAGAGGCCAGAUUCAAUCUAAUAUCUUUAUUAAGGAAAUAUAUAAGAUUAAUAAAAAUAAAUGUAAAAGUUAGUUCAGAAGCAGACCUUUCAGGAAAGGUCAAAAUUAGUCCAAAAAAGCAAUGUCCAAUAUGAAAUAUUAUGAUCCAAAGUUGUAAUCCAAUAACCGAAACACUCACUUUGCCAGGCAAAGUGAGGGGAGAUGACAAGGUCCUUUAGUCCAUAAACUUGAGCAAGGCUAGGAAAUAACUUGAUACUUGAAGCAAGGCUUAAAACGUGGAACAAGGUAACAAGGAACAAGAACAAGGUCCGUGGAAUAACUUGGUAAAAUCCGUGAUACAAGGCAAGGUAUAGUCCCGGGAAACAAGCAAGGUCCGUAGGUAAACAAAGGCUGGAAACUGGAGCGAAGGCUGGAAGGCAGGCAAAGGCUUGAGCAGGAACGAGGCUUGAAACGGAGCGCGCUGUCCAGACACAACUCGCUCCGGAGGCUGACGAAUUGACUCCGCGAAGUUACUACGCGGGUAAAACACCUAUAUAGAGUCUAACUUUCCCGCCGAAGCAGUUCUCUGGGAACCAGAAACGAAAGCUAAACUCUGAGACCAGAUGUCUGACUCCUUAAAGAUUCUCACGAAAAGCAAACUUAAUUGGGUACAUUCCUAGCUGCUAUCCUCGCACUCCUGCGCGAAGCUGCUUCCAAACCCCUCUGUUGUUUACAAAACUCAUGGCGAGAGAACACGGGAGAUGUAGGCUCAGGGUUUGUUUGACAUACUUCUGGGACACAACUUUCUUGCAGGUGCAAGGUUCCCAGAUCUGCCUGGGAAAGAUCUGGCUGAGAAGAUUCCAGUUCUGACUGGGAAGGUAAAAAACCCAAGUUUUCUUCCUCAUCAGGGAUGACAAUGUCCUGAGCAGGACUACAAGGCCCAUGGGUCAUCACAAUAGGAUAGAUAAAUGAUAGGAAGGUAGGUUGAUAGAUGAUGGCUGGAUGGAUAGAUAAAUAUAGUAGAUAAAUAAAAGGUAGGCAGGUAAGUUGAUAGAUGAUGGCUGGAUCGAUAGGUAGGUAGAUAAGUAGAUAGAUAAUUAGAUAGUUGGUUGGAUAGAUAGAUAGAUAGAUAGAUAGAUGGAUAGAUAGAUUAAUACAUUAGGCUGAUAGGUUGGUUGGUUGGAUAGAUAGAUAGAUACAUACAUACAUACAUUAAUACAUUAGACAGGCUGGUAGGUUGGUUGGAUGGAUGGAUGUAUGAUAGAUAGAUAGAUAGAUAGAUAGAUAGAUAGAUAGAUAGAUAGAUAGAUAGAUAGAUAGGUAGGUAGAUAGGUAGAUAAUUAGGGAAGGUGGGUAACAGGAUAGAUAGGUAGUUAGGUUGAUAGAUGAUGGCUGGACAGAUAGAUAGAUAGAUAGAUAGAUAGAUAGAUAGAUAGAUAGAUAGAUAGAAUAAAUAAAUAAAUGAUAGGAAGGUAGGUUGAUAGAUGAUGGCUGGAUAGAUAAAUAAAUAGAGUAGAUAAAUAAAAGGAUAGAUAGGCAAGUAAGUUGAUAGAUGAUGGCUGGAUAGAUAGGUAGAUAGAUAGAUUAGACAUAUUGGUUGGUUGGUUGGUUGUUGGAUGGAUGGUUGGUUGUUGGAUGGAUAGAUAGAUAGAUAGAUAGAUAGAUAGAUAGAUAGAUAGAUAGAUAGAUAGAUAGAUAGAUAGAUAAUUAGGGAAGGUGGGUAACAGGAUAGAUAAGUAGUUAGGUUGAUGAUGGCUGGCUGGCUGGCUAGAUAGAUAGAUAGAUAGAUAGAUAGAUAGAUAGAUAGAUAGGAUAAAUAAAUGAUAGGAAGGUAGGUUGAUAGAUGAUGGCUGGAUAGAUAAAUAGUUAGAGUAGAUAAAUAAAAGGAUAGGUAGGCAGGUAAGUUGAUAGAUGAUGGCUGGAUAGAUAGGUAGAUAGAUUAGACAUGUUGGUUGGUGGGUUGGUUGGUUGGAUGGAUGGAUGGAUGGAUGGAUGGAUGGAUGGAUAGAUAGAUAGAUAGAUAGAUAGAUAGAUAGAUAGAUAGAUAGAUAGAUAGAUAGAUAAGAUAGAUAAUUAGGGAAGGUGGUAACAGGAUAGAUAAGUAGUUAGGUUGAUAGAUGAUGGCUGGCUGGCUGGCUGGCUAGAUAGAUAGAUAGAUAGAUAGAUAGAUAGAUAGAUAGAUAGAUAGAUAGAAUAUAAAUGAUAGGAAGGUAGGUUGAUAGAUGAUGGCUGGAUAGAUAAAUAAAUAGAUAGAGUAGAUAAAUAAAAGGAUAGGUAGGCAGGUAAGUUGAUAGAUGAUGGCUAGAUAGAUAGAUAGAUAGAUAGAUAGAUAGAUAGAUAGAUAGAUAGAUAAGACAUGUUGGUUGGAUAGAGAGAGAGAGAGAUAGAUUAAUGCAUUAGACAGGCUGGUUGGUUGGUUGGAUAGAUAGAUAGAUAGAUAGAUAGAUAGAUAGAUAGAUAGAUAGAUAGAUAGAUAGAGAGAUUAAUACAUUAGACAGACUGGUUGGUUGGUUGGUUGGUUGGUUGGUUGGUUGGAUGGAUGGAUGGAUGGAUAGAUAGAUAGAUAGAUAGAUAGAUAGAUAGAUAGAUAGAUAGAUAGAUAGAUAGAUAGAUAGAUAAUUAGGGAAGGUGGGUAACAGGAUAGAUAAGUAGUUAGGUUGAUAGAUGAUGGCUGGAUGGAUGGAUGGAUAGAUAGAUAGAUAGAUAGAUAGAUAGAUAGAUAGAUAGAUAGAUAGAUAGGAUAGAUAAAUGAUAGGAAGGUAGGUUGAUAGAUGAUGGCUGGAUGGAUAGAUAAAUAUAGUAGAUAAAUAAAAGGUAGGCAGGUAAGUUGAUAGAUGAUGGCUGGAUCGAUAGGUAGGUAGAUAAGUAGAUAGACAGAUAAUUAGAUAGUUGGUUGGAUAGAUAGAUAGAUAGAUAGAUAGAUAGAUAGAUUAAUACAUUAGGCUGAUAGGUUGGUUGGUUGGAUAGAUAGAUAGAUACAUACAUACAUACAUUAAUACAUUAGACAGGCUGGUAGGUUGGUUGGAUGGAUGGAUGUAUGAUAGAUAGGUAGAUAGAUAGAUAGGUAGAUAAUUAGGGAAGGUGGGUAACAGGAUAGAUAGGUAGUUAGGUUGAUAGAUGAUGGCUGGACAGAUAGAUAGAUAGAUAGAUAGAUAGAUAGAUAGAUAGAUAGAUAGAUAGAUAGAUAGAUAGAUAGAAUAAAUAAAUAAAUGAUAGGAAGGUAGGUUGAUAGAUGAUGGCUGGAUAGAUAAAUAAAUAGAGUAGAUAAAUAAAAGGAUAGAUAGGCAAGUAAGUUGAUAGAUGAUGGCUGGAUAGAUAGGUAGAUAGAUAGAUUAGACAUGUUGGUUGGUUGGUUGUUGGAUGGAUGGUUGGUUGUUGGAUGGAUGGAUAGAUAGAUAGAUAGAUAGAUAGAUAGAUAGAUAGAUAGAUAGAUAGAUAGAUAGAUAAUUAGGGAAGGUGGGUAACAGGAUAGAUAAGUAGUUAGGUUGAUGAUGGCUGGCUGGCUGGCUGGCUGGCUAGAUAGAUAGAUAGAUAGAUAGAUAGAUAGAUAGAUAGAUAGAUAGAUAGGAUAAAUAAAUGAUAGGAAGGUAGGUUGAUAGAUGAUGGCUGGAUAGAUAAAUAGUUAGAGUAGAUAAAUAAAAGGAUAGGUAGGCAGGUAAGUUGAUAGAUGAUGGCUGGAUAGAUAGAUAGAUAGAUAGAUAGAUAGAUAGAUAGAUAAGACAUGUUGGUUGGAUAGAGAGAGAGAGAGAUAGAUUAAUGCAUUAGACAGGCUGGUUGGUUGGAUAG